rnacentral:lncRNA from 1 species
AGAAGCAUCCUCAUCUCAUUGAUGUCUUCAUGAGCAGUCGAGAAGUGAUGGGAAACACUGAGGCCCGAAACAGAAGCUAAGACAGUGGUUCUGAACCUGUGGGUCAUGACCCCUUAGUCACCUAAGACCAACUGCAGAUCAGAUAUUUACACCACGAUUUAUAUCAGUAGCAAAAUUACAGUUAGGAAGUAGCAACUACAGUAAUUUUAUUCUUGGGGUCACCACAACAUGAGGAACUGUAUUAAAGGGUGGCAGCAUUAGGAAGGUUGAGAACCACUGCUCUGAGGAGACAAAUCUCAGUAUAACUCAGGACAAAUUUCUGUUCCUUUCAAUGCACUUUAACUCCAGGGCAGCGGCAGCAGCAGCUUAUCGUACACACUGCGAAGGAUCAGGGCUGGUAUAGAUACCUGCCCUCAGUGAGCCAGCUCCUAAGGGACAGCCCUGGAACCCCUCCAGAGACGUCACAUAGACUGCUUGCAGAGAUCUUCCAACACGGGAUUCCGAUCAAUAAGUUGGGGCCCCAAGCUUCUUCAGGAAAACAGUUUUUAUUUGUGCUAGCAGAUUCAUCCAAACUUCUGUUUCAAAGAACCAAGCCCCAAAGGCUCACUAGACGGAGCCUUUUGGAUUUUGCGUCUUUGUCUCCCAUACAUGGAAGGGAAACUAAUCACCCCACAUCAUCCCCAAGACUUGUGAACGACUGCUCUUUCUGUACUGAGUACUCACAGAUGUGGAAACAGACCCACAGGGAACUCACGGGGCUAUCGGCAAUAGAGGCACCAUCAGUCCCAGCACCAAGUCCCAUCAGGGAAGUAGCCAAACUCUGUGUGAAAUAAUUAAAAAAUUAUUUUUCACUUUCUUAAUUUCUUUUCAAAAAUUUUAUAAAUGUAUAUUGUAUUUAUAUCAUUCCUCCCCUUCCUCUCCUCCUAUGCCCCCACCUUGUGCUCCCUUUCAAAUUCUUGUAUUUACACACACACACACACACACACACACACACACACACAUACACACACACACACACACAGAGAGAGAGAGAGAGAGAGACAGAGACAGAGACAGAGACAGAGACAGAGACAGAGACAGAGACAGAACUAAAUAAACUCAGCAAGUUGAAUUUAUAUAUUUAUUCA